rnacentral:lncRNA from 10 species
UUCUUGCAAGAUUCAGUUCCUCGUAGACUAUUGAUGAGACUAAGGGUCUCAUUGCCUUGCUGGCUGUUGUCCAGGGGACCCUACAGUUCCUUGUCAUGGAGGCCUCUUCACAGGGCAACUUGCAACAUGGCAGUGGGCUUCCCUCAAAGCAAGUGAGAAGGCAAGAGAGAGUGCACAGCCUUUUUACAUACUAAUAUCAAAAGUGACAUCCCAUCAACUCUAUUGCAUUCUAUUCUCUAGAAGAGAAUGUGAGUUCCCAGCCUGGUCCAGGGAAGUCAGAAAAGUUGAGGGAUGCUAGGUCCAGGAAGGGGUCACCUGAGAGAGUGAGGAGAUCAGAGAAGGGUCAGGUGGCCAGGCAGUUUCCCUAGUACCCUCCUGCCCUGGAGCCUUAGUUCUUGAAGAAAAUUUUAAGGCCACUCAGCCUGGUGGUUCCAAAAUAUACUCAUUUAAUGUAACUGUCAGAGUCAACCAGAACCCUUCUUUAAAAAUUCAGAUCUGUGGCCCCAUUCCAGACGCUUGAACCUGAAAGUCUCAGAGGUGAAAUGGGGCUUAGCAUCAUUCCUGUGGAUUCUGAUGUUCAGCCUGGUUGGAAACCACUGACCUUGAUCAUCCAUUUCUUUCCCAGCCGAAGGGAAUUUCCAAGAGAGAGGAUGGUGGUGCAGUGCAUAUUGCAACCCCGGAUCAGCCAGAAGUCCGUGGAUUUGGGAAAGCACAUGUAACAAUGUCGUCCAGGGUACACUGCAAGGAACACAGGCUUAGAGUCACAAGGGUCUGUGCUUGAACCCAGGAAGGUAAGGACCUUGACAAGAGAUGAAGGUCUGUUAUCACAAGAAGAGCAAGAAACAAACCAGCUGACUUCCGAAGCAUUUUUUAAAGUCCAGCAUCAAACUCUCGGGAGUGUGAGCAAAAAGUGGGACUGGCAUGGGAUCAGUUUUCUGCAAGUACCCUAAUCCUGUGAGUGCCCAGGCCACUUAGAUCUCUGACCUAGUGAACAUUUAGUGCUUAAUCACCCUCAAAAUAUACUAUUUUAUCCUUGAAGUGGGAUUGUCUUGGGCUUAUGCGAUGAGCCACACUGGAGACAAAAUAGACCAGUUCUGGAUCUCUGGAGGACUAAGAGAGGUCUGUGCUUUUUACCGUAUUUAACUGAGCUCCUGAUAAGAUUGCUUUCCUGGGAUUACAGAAUGGAAACUUGAGGUAUUCAUCUGAUCUCUUUCCCCUCAGCAUGCUCAACUCCAUUAACGACUAAAGAAGCACUUUCCUAGCACAUUUAAUGGGCUUGGGCUCAUAAAGAAUCAUUCCAGGUUCUCACGAUGCCCGGCUGGCCGAGGUGUUAAAGUACAGAAAACUUUAAGUCUGGAGAGGUUUAGAAGCUCAUCUUGGCACCUCAUUUUUAAGCGGGGGCUAAUUUUACCCAGAGGCCGGCCACAAGCACGAAUUUCUUCAGAUUUGGAACUUUGGGGAGAUACUUUAUGUAAAGUGUGGCUGUUGGGUUGCUGCAGCUGUGUUUGAAAAAAGUACGGGGGGUGGGAGGGGGAGAUUGAGGCCUACAGAAGUAGGAGAUUCUGUAGUUAGUCAAGCAUCAGAACCCAGGUGUUCAGAUAUGACUAGUUUUGGCAAUGUCAGGAAGAAAGGACUGGACAGGGGAAAGGAGAUUUGCAGCUAAAAAGUUAGUGCUGAGUUUGUUGGCAAACUUGCCUCUAGAAUUUUUUUUAGAAAGUGAUUUCUAAAAUAUUAUUAUAUAAGUGAAUUAGUUUCUAUUUCUGUGUAAUACAUGAAUCCAAAACUAAGCAGUUUAAAACAACAAAGAAUGAUUAUCUCCCAGUUUCUAUGGGACUGGAAUCUGAGCAUGGCUUAGGUAGAUGCCUCUGGCUCAAGAUGUCUCACAAGACUGCAAUUAAGAAGUCAGCAGGGGCUGUGGUCUCAUCUGAAGGCUCACCUUGGGAAGGACCUACUUGCAACCUCAUCCAUGUGGUUCUUGGCAAGAUUCAGUUCCUCGUGGGCUAUUGGACUAAGGGUCUCAUUGCCUUGCUGGCUGUUGUCCAGGGGACCCUACAGUUCUUUGUCAUGGAGGCCUCUUCACAGGGCAGCUUGCAACAUGGCAGUGGGCUUCCCUCAAAGCAAGUGAGAAGGCAAGAGAGAGUGCACAGCCUUUUUAUAUACUAAUAUCAAAAGUGACAUCCCAUCAACUCUACUGCAUUCUAUUCUCUAGAAGCAAGUCACUAAAUCAGCCCCCACUCAAGGGGAGGGAGGGUUACAAAGGCAUGCAUACCAGGAGGAGGGGAUCACUGGGGCCAUCUUGUAGACUGCCUACUGGACAUUUGUUUUGGGUAGAAAAUCAGGAAAACUCUGAAAUACUACACUUCAUAGGCAACUUUACCAUGAAGAUCUUAACUAAUUACACACCUUCUUGUGCCUUUUUUCUAUACACAUAUGUAUUUUUUAAAAGAUUUCAAACUAUAUAUACUAUGAUUGCCUGCACUGUUAACUCAGAAAUAUUUCAUGUAUUGGUGUCAAUAAACCUUGUUCUACUAUAUCACUUUUAACGGCUUAUUUCAUCAUGUAUUUCAUCAUAUGAACUUAUUCCACAAAUGACUCAGCCACCCUUGCUCCAGCUCUGCAUUUAAUUUUGUCAAAUUAAUGUCACAAUCAUGAAAAAUUGUGCCAGGCAUUUAAUGUGCUAAAGUGCAGCAAAUCUCAGCAAGCUCUGUGCCUUCUGGCCUGUCCCUGGGGCUCAGCCUGUAGGUCUCUAACAUGAGAGGUUCGAAUAGAUGGCCACUAAGGUCCCUUUAGAGACCAGAAAGCCUGUCCCCUGGGAGUGGUGAUUCCUCAGAGAUGCUACCCAACCCACUGGGGCCAGGAGUUUAGCAGCUGUCUAGGAUGCCUUUGUUGAUUUUGAGACCUCUGAAUCCUUCUAUGUCUGUGUAAAUAUAUACAACUUGCUUGAAUGUAUUUA